rnacentral:rRNA from 1 species
GACUACAGGGGUAUCUAAUCCUGUUUGCUCCCCACGCUUUCGUGCCUCAGCGUCAGUUACAGUCCAGAAAGCCGCCUUCGCCACUGGUGUUCUUCCUAAUCUCUACGCAUUUCACCGCUACACUAGGAAUUCCGCUUUCCUCUCCUGCACUCUAGAUGCCCAGUUUGAAAUGCAGCACCCAAGUUGAGCUCGGGUAUUUCACAUCUCACUUAAACAUCCGCCUACGCACUCUUUACGCCCAGUAAAUCCGGACAACGCUCGCCACCUACGUAUUACCGCGGCUGCUGGCACGUAGUUAGCCGUGGCUUCCUCCUCUGGUACCGUCAUUAUCGUCCCAGAUAACAGAGCUUUACAACCCUAAGGCCUUCAUCACUCACGCGGCGUUGCUGCGUCAGGGUUUCCCCCAUUGCGCAAUAUUCCCCACUGCAGCCCCCCGUAGG